AGUGAACGCUGGCGGUAGGCCUAACACAUGCAAGUCGAACGGCAGCACAGUAAGAGCUUGCUCUUACGGGUGGCGAGUGGCGAACGGGUGAGGAAUACAUCGGAAUCUACUUUUUCGUGGGGGAUAACGUAGGGAAACUUACGCUAAUACCGCAUACGACCUACGGGUGAAAGCAGGGGAUCUUCGGACCUUGCGCGAUUGAAUGAGCCGAUGUCGGAUUAGCUAGUUGGCGGGGUAAAGGCCCACCAAGGCGACGAUCCGUAGCUGGUUUGAGAGGAUGAUCAGCCACACUGGAACUGAGACACGGUCCAGACUCCUACGGGAGGCAGCAGUGGGGAAUAUUGGACAAUGGGCGCAAGCCUGAUCCAGCCAUACCGCGUGGGUGAAGAAGGCCUUCGGGUUGUAAAGCCCUUUUGUUGGGAAAGAAAAGCAGCAGGUUAAUACCCCGCUGUUCUGACGGUACCCAAAGAAUAAGCACCGGCUAACUUCGUG
rnacentral:rRNA from 1 species